UUAUCCCGUCGACAGCCUGCAAGAUAUCGAAUUAGGUUUAAGUAUUUCGUAUGUCCCGGCCGUCCCGGCAAACGUGGACAUCGCUAAGGGGAAGACAUUCCUCAUACGGUGCAGCAAGAAUGCAGAGCCCUCUGAAGCCUUCUUCGUUGCUGCGGGCCUCAGGGUGCACACUGUACACAUUGUGCAGAGCACAACCGGAAAAUAGAGGAGCUUGAGCAUGCAAAUGCCCGCCUGACAAAGAAGCUUCGCAAAGCCAAAGAGAGGUGUGGUAAGCUGAUAUAUAUAUAUUUUUUUUACAUAUGUUGUGACAAGCAUGUAGCAGGUAAUUAUUUUCAGUCAUGACCAACAUGGUGAAUCAAAUGGAAAAUCUAAUCCAGACUGCCUCCAGCCAGAACGCUGCUGCUGUUACAGCAGCUCCAAUGCUGGACAUCGGCUUAGGUGUUUGCGUGGACGCUGGUGUUCUGCACAGAAUAGAGAGAAGCAGCAAAGGGGAUAGGACAAGGUACGACUGCAUAAGCAUAGCUAUC